AUGGGAGGCGACGGGCACAAGGGGCUGGCGGCGGCGCCAGGCGCGCUUCCGUCCCCGUCCCUGUCCCCGACCCCGGUCCCCGCCGGCACAGAAAGGCCCCUUUCAGCCCCCGCCAGCGUUUGGCCUCGCCGCGGUUUCCGAGCUGGCUGCGGGAGGCGGCGGGACGGGGACACCGGGGCCGCGGUGGCAGCCUGGGGGGUCUCCUUGGAGCCUCGUGGCCCUGCGCCGGCCAAAGCCGGGAGCCCCGGAAAGCAGCGGCCGCCCCGCGUGGUGCUGCCCCCCCCCCCCGGCAAAGCCCCGUGGAGGGGACGGUGGCACCGGGAGCAGGGCCCUGUCCCCAUCCCCAACCAGGUCACUGCUGGUACCCGGGGGCACCGCGCAUCCCCAAAACCAGCCCCUGCCCCCAAAACCAGCCCCUGUCCCCCAGAGCCGCCUGGCCCGGGGCCCCUGCCCCCCCCCCGUGCCCCCCCCCCGUGCCCCAGUGCUGGCAGGGCCGGGCACCAGCACCCCCAGCAGCUCCCCGCAGGUGGCCCUGCACCCCCCAAGUCCUUUUGUCCCCCUUUCCCCAUGCUUCCCCCCCCCCCCCCAGUUCCAUUAUCCCUGGGAAUCCCUUCGGGCUCAUCUUUGGGGUUCCUGCACCCCUCUAUGCCCUUCUCCCCCUUUUUGGGGUCCUUCCCCUCCCCAGCAUCCCUGCACCCCUUUUUUGGGAUCCCUGCCCCCCCCCCGAAAGCUUCCCAUUGCCCCUCUUUGGGGUCCCCACACCCCAGGGGCUCUCUGCACCCCUUCCAGCACGUCCUGACCCCCCCAUUUCUGGGGUCCCCCACCCCUGAGCCCCCUCCCUCCCCCAUUGGCAGCCCCCCCGUGUCCCCCCCCGUGCCCUGGACACAGGUUGUGACAAGGCUCCGCUUGUUCCCGGUGCGGGGACGAUGCCGCGGGGCACGGCCGCCACCAAGCACGACCGGCACCUGCUCGGGCCGGUUACCCAUUAACCACCCCCCCCCGCCUCCUGCCUCAGUUUCCCCCCCCCCCCAAGCAUGUGGGGGGUCCUCGCAGGGCAGGGGGCACGGGGACCCGUCCCCCCUCCCCGUGGCCCGCUGGCAGCGCCAACCCGGGCGCCGUUCCCGUGUCCGCACGGUGCCAGCCGUGGCCGGGCUCCCCGCCAGCCCCAAUUUCCCCUCUUUCCACCCCAAAAACGGGGGGCCGUGA
rnacentral:lncRNA from 1 species